GAGUCGGCGCCGCCGCCGCCUUCCCCCGCCCCCUGCCCGGGGCCCUGGCGGCGAGCACAACAAAGCCCGGGACAGCGCGUACCGCGGCGGCCGGCCGCCUCCCUUCCUCCGGGACGGGGCCUGGGAUGACACCACCUUGCACUAUGGAUGCUGCUCCGGGGAGACUUGUAAUACUAUGAUGGGCAAAAUAGCAUCAAGUGUGACUAAUUCCCACGCUGGAGUUGAAAGGCUCAGAGAAAUGUAGACCCAAAUCAUAUUAUCCAAUGGCAACUAUUCCAGAGAAUUCCAGGCCUUUCAAGACACCCUCCAUUAGGGGCACGCCAAAGCAGCAAGAGGAUUUAAGGAAGGGUAACUGUAUCCUAAUGAAUAACCCAGCAAUUACAGCAGAGGCUGGAGGGACAACUUUCAAAAGCGCCCUACAUUAAUGAAAAACAGUCCUGGGAUCAACACAGCUACAACUACACUGCAUACCCUAAAUUAAAUUAGAACACUGGUGUAGCUAAAAAUGGGCAAGGUACUCCCACUUAAAAUUAUGAGUUUGAGAUGCCAUUGUAAAAUUUCCAUGAAGAUUGAGAUCGAUAGGAAACGACUAGCUUUGUAAGCAGACUGCUAAUUAUAUUUUAUAUUAUUUCUUAUGCUCACCCAGCUUAUCUGAUAGUUUCAUUACAUAGGUCCCAUUCUGCUAAGGUAUUUGGCACUGCACAAACUGAAAAACUAGAAUACAGAUUAAAAUAUAAUAUUCAAUAUUAAAAAGCCAAACAAAAUUAUAGCCUUAGUACUCACAUACUUUUCCUGCUAAUUUUGUAUUGCUUUGUACACCCAUACAAGUUGAAUGAGGUCUCAAUUAUCUGGCUUAGUGCAAGAGACUCCAGCAUAUCAUUUCUGCUACAAUAACUAUCUCCAGUGCAAUAGCUGAUUGAUUAGAAGACCACUAUAUUCUUGCCUUUAAGGUGAAUGUUUUGGCUUUUUAUUUUUUAAUUUGGUCAAUUUAAUAAACUAUUGCUUUUCCAUAGGGUUUCCUUCAGUACAACCCUAUCAUAGGGCUGGGUUGUACUGCACCUAAAGAAACCACCCAUUCUUAGAGUCCCAUAUUGUUCUUCCAGCUGAGAAGGACAGAUGGCAGCACUCCCAGCCCAGGGUAUGAGAAAAUGGGAUCAGAAAUUUAAUGUAGCAGGACUUCCACAUGGUAGUGGCAGAAGACUAAGCCACUGCGUUAUCCAUUAUGUUAGACUAGUGUUUUUAAUAUUUCAUUUCAUUUUGUUUAUUUUUAAAGUAGUAUUGUAAGACUAUAUAGGGCAGAGAGGGAAGCUCAUAUUGACAUAAUACCAAUGUAUGACACCUACCUUUAAAAUAAAACCUUCAAUUGAGAACAUGCUGUACAGCACUACACAGAAACUACACAAAUGUGUAUUAGCAGAUAGAGCUGUCAUAUCUCUUCAGGGCAAAGAUUGUGUCUUAUAUGUUUGAACAAUACCUUGGACAUUGUGCCAUAAUUCAAUGAACAAUCUGUUUACAUCCACAUAGGACCUUGCUAUGUGCUGGAUUUGAUUUCAGAAUCGAGUGAUCAUUACAAAAAACAAACAAAAUGCUAUUUGCUUUUAUUUAUGCACUACCUUGUAACCAUUUUUGCCAAAAAACUGCAAGAUCUUCCUAGAAAAUAUGUCCCUUGCAACUCCUUUUCAACACCGAAUUCAUGAUCUGCAGUUCUCACUGUAAAUGAUUCUUGAACAUGGCUUUUUUAUAUGUCUGGGAAUUGUGCAAGAUCUUUUGGAAGAGCUUUUGAAGUCCUGGAGGGCUCCAAAUAUGCUAUCUGUGGAAUUACACAUUGUACCUGGAUAUUGUACAAGAUACUAUUGAUAUAAUUCUGUUGGGUCAUUCUGAACUCCAUAAAACCAUUAUGA